rnacentral:RNase_P_RNA from 1 species
CGAGUUGGCAGGGCGGCCGCGGUAGCGCGCCACGGCGCGGUAUCGAGGAAAGUCCGGACUCCGCAGGGCAGGGUGGUUGCUAACCGCAACCCGGGGUGACCCGCGGGAAAGUGCCACAGAAAACAGACCGCCCCGCCGACGACGCGGGGUAAGGGUGAAACGGUGGUGUAAGAGACCACCAGCGUCCCGGGUGACCGGGACGGCUUGGUAAACCCCACCCGGAGCAAGGCCAAGAGGGAGCAACGCUCCUGCGCAGGCGUUCGAGGGCGGCCCGUCCGAUGCCUGCGGGUAGGCCGCUUGAGCCUGUCGGCAACGGCAGGCCGAGAUGGAUGGCCGCCCAUCGCGGUACCGCCGCGUGGACAGAAUCCGGCUUACAUGCCAACUCGCCCG